GGGACUGUAGUUCAAUUGGUUAGAGCACUGCCCUGUCACGGCAGAAGUUGCGGGUUCGAGUCCCGUCAGUCCCG
rnacentral:tRNA from 2 species